AACCCCACUAAGAAACUUGAUGAUAGAUUUCUCAUUUUCAUACUCGACGACUAUAAAAUUUACUAAAAUAGUGGAAGACACAAUUAGAUAAAAAUAUCAUCUAAAUUAUAUAUGUUAUCAUGAGUAGUCUUUCUAUAUUCUUAUAUACACAUAUACAUCUUUACUAUCACUACAUAGUAUAUUUUUUUAAUUGAUUAGACUUCAUGGAAUGGUUGAGAAAAAGAAGGUG
rnacentral:lncRNA from 1 species